rnacentral:rRNA from 1 species
CCUACGGGUGGCAGCAGUGAGGAAUAUUGGUCAAUGGCCGGACGGCUGCACCAGCCAAGCCGCGUGAAGGACGAAGGUGCCAAGCAUUGUAAACUUCUUUUGUCAAGGGACCAAAUCAGGCUCGAGCGCCUUACCGCGGGUACUUGAAGAAAAAGCAUCGGGUAACUCCGUUCCAGCAGCCGCGGUAAUACGGAGGAUGCGAGCUUUAUCCGGAUUUAUUGGGUUUAAAGGGUGCGUAGGCGGGCUGUUAAGUCCGCGGUAAAAGCCCGGGGCUCAACCCCGGCGAGCCGUUGAAACUGGCUGUCUUGAGAUGGCGAGAGGUAGGCGGAAUGCGCAGUAUAGCGGUGAAAUGCUUAGAUAUUGCGCAGAACUCCGAUUGCGAAGGCAGCAUACCGGCGGCGAUCUGACGCUGAGGCACGAAAGCGUGGGUAUCGAACAGGAUUAGAUACCCGUGUAGUC